AAAGAUUAGCAAAGUAGGGUAGACAAAUUUACUCCUACUCACCUGUAAUUGAGAAUGUAAAUACUAAUUAGCUGGUGUUCAUUUCCCAAAGGGGUCUUCAUGAGAAGGUGGAUGCUGGCCUGGUCGUUCUGAGUAUCCCACCCUGUGCAGUAAUCUGUCUUCAGCAGCAAGCAGUGGUAGGUGCUGAAGAGCUCUCUUUCACAAGACCUGGCUGUUCCAACGUGCCUGACAGACAUGCAGCACAGGUCUGACCACUCAGUAUUCAGGCACAAAGAGAGGAUGACCCUUGCCAGGGUUCCUCUUCGAUUUGACUUCAGUGAGUUCAGCAGUGAUGUGAUAGCUUUCCCCACCAAUAAGGACACCACCUACAUCAGCCUCCAGGUUUUCCCAUGGAGCUUUGUAUUUGAUAUUCUUUCUUCUGCAAAGGUAAUGCAAAGAAUGUCCAGCACAGUUUUGCCAUGCAGCAUCUCAGGUCUUGUUGCAGUUAAUGGAAUGGUAAUCUGAUAUAUCACCUUCUGUUUCCUUUUAGAAUACAUGCUUCACAGCUUGUCAAGUGUA